CUCUCCCCGCCUUCAUCUUGCGUUCUUCAAACAAGGCAUUGCGUCACAUUCCCCGCACCACAUUCUUCAAACAAUUGUGCCUCCACACGUGCACUUUAGCUACACAACCUCUUCUCUCUUGUUAAUAUUGGCGUCGCUCUUCCUGUUCCCUAUCGCUCACAGACCCACUUUUGUUCUUUGCAGUUUGAAAAUCCCCAUUUCUGAUUGGUUUUUUCCAAUUCGAAAACCCUAGUUUGAUUUCUUCCAACUCUAAUGGAGCUUCACUUCUCGAAGUUGAUGGCGCCUUUGAAUUCCCUACAUAUCCGACGAGAAUGCCGACGAAGAUCCCGAACUUAGAGUCACCGUCGAUGACGAAGGACCGGAAGGGAAGAGGAUGAAAGGACGUCAUGCUUUCCAAGGGGAAACCCUUGAUCUUGGAGAAGGUUAGGGUUUGGGUGCAAAGCAUGGCCAGAGGCAGUCCUAUUAAGGACGAAUUGGAGAACAAGAAGUCGACGCCGUCUCCCUUGCCAUCACCGGCGCGAUCGACACUGUUUCCGUCACUGUCCACGUCCACUAUAACUGCGCCGAAGAACGAAACUUCGACGUCCACGAAGAAGAAGGAGAGGAAAGGAGUGAAGAGUAUUAGUAUGACUGAGGUUCAAUUUUAGGACGAAGGACUUGUGUGAGAUAUUGAUGGAUGAGAAUAGAUGGAAGCGUUUCACACAGAGUAAUGUGAGGAUUAGGAUAAAGGUUGGUGAUGAAAACAAAUUUGUCUGAUGUAUCUUAGCCAAGGAAUGUUACUGAAGAUUGCCAGUCUGAUUUCUUUCCAAUGCUUCGUUAUGUGACAAGCUGCAAAAGAAGAGUGUCGGGGUUUUCUCAUCAGCUUCUGUCGGGUGAUUACUAUUUGGAUUCUCUGGAUGCUCAUAGCAAUCCUAAUUUAAUUGAGGUAAAGAGUGAAUUUCUCAGACUAAUUGGAAGUUUGGUAAGCUUAAGUUGUUGGUCAUCGUUUUCACAAAGUUCUUCCGGUUGUUUUUAUUUAUUAUUUUAAUUAGGGGGUUUAUUCAUGAACCACAUAGAAAAUAGGUAGAUUAUGUUAGGAUCCAAUUGCAAGACAAGACAUGAGACAAAACAGGGAAGGUGGCUUGAGGGACAUAUGUGCUUGGUGUAAAGCUAAUGGUGAUCUGUAUGUGGUGGCAGUCUGUCAUGAAGCUUUGGUUCACCCAAUUACUAGAGCUUGGUCAAACUCCUCGAGGUGCACCUAAUCCUGACUUAGCCAAAUGAAAUGGUAGCUGAAGGUGGCCGAAGAUAAAGAGCUCUUGAUACCAACUUGAAUUUGAAUGUGAAGAAAAAAAUCAGGGAGUUACUUGCUUAACUAAUGCACUUUUUAUAUAUAUGAAAGAAAAGGAAAGAGUACAUUCUAGGGAAAAGUUAUAUCCUAUAGUACUCAACCCUAGAUUAGGUAUAUACACCGAAAAGCAAUAUAAUAAUAAUCAUAAUUUUAACAAUUAGCUUUAUGAAGGUCAUGUUUUUGUAUCUUUCCAAUUCAAAGUGUAUGAUUUCUUAUUUACAGAGGAACUACGUUUAGCCUGUGUCUGGUAAACUUGUUUACAAUGGUUUGCUUUAUGAUGGAAAUUUGUUUGUAGUAAUCCAUUUUGUCCUUUGAGGAGCCUCCAUCCUGCACCGAGAAUCAUAUAUAGUUUGGAUUGGCUGUCAAAGCCAAGUUGUAUCAUUAUGUCCUUUGAAGAUGGAACAAUGAGAACCAUUAGCUUGGCGAAGGCUGGAAAUGACCUUCAUUGUCACUAGAGAAGUAUACAGUGGGAAAAAACAACCUGGGUUGCACGGUUCUUCAUAUGCAUCUUUUGCCAUUUGGAGUGUUCAAGUGUCACGUAUAACAGGCGUGUUUUUCGGUAUGCAUUGACAAUAUGAUUAUGUAAUCUUAUUGCUAGAAAUAUUUUACUUUUGGCAUUAAAAUACUUGUGUACUAUUGAUCUUACUCUGUAAAGUAAUCGUUAGUAUUUCUGGGCAAACAGACUUUCUUGUAAUGACAAAUUUGUCCUCGUUUGUUUACUCAAUAUCAUAACGGGGCACUAAAUUACUUCAUUAUCAUUACUGCAAUUUUGUAAAUUGAGGGAUUUGCUUUUAUUAUGUUAAGCAUGCUUGCUUAUUGUGGUGCAGACGGUACUGCCUUUCGUUUUCAGGUAAUUCUUAUAAUUUGUUGGAGAUUGGAAUCACCUACAGUGCCUUUUUUUUUUACUUGAUAGAUUCUUAUAAUCAAUUGCUUUGAUGACCAAUAGUCAAGAGUUUUCAAACCCCACACUUUAUUCUGAAGUUGAACUUCAAUUUUCAACACAAGGAAGUUUUGGCUUACGCAUUGUUAUUUUUUUAGUGCAAGCAAAAAGGGCUUUAGGCAUAUGGACCUCCACAUAGUAACCGCAGGAUAUAAUAGAGUUGAUUUUUCACACACAGCCCAUAAUUCAUGUAAAAUUUAUUAGCUAAUAUUUCCCAAAUGACUAAUCAAUUCAAAGGUUUGCAUGC